rnacentral:rRNA from 1 species
CCUACGGGUGGCAGCAGUGGGGAAUAUUGCACAAUGGGGGAAACCCUGAUGCAGCGACGCCGCGUGAAGGAAGAAGGAUUUCGGUAUGUAAACUUCUAUCAGCAGGGAAGAAAAUGACGGUACCUGACUAAGAAUCCCCGGCUAACUACGUGCCAGCAGCCGCGGUAAUACGUAGGGGGCAAGCGUUAUCCGGAUUUACUGGGUGUAAAGGGAGCGUAGGCGGGGAUGCAAGUCAGAAGUGAAAGCCCGGGGCUCAACUUCGGGACUGCUUUUGAAACUGUGUGGCUAGAGUGCAGGAGCGGUAAGUGGAAUUCAUGGUGUAGCGGUGAAAUGCGUAGAUAUUAGGAAGAACACCAGUGGCGAAGGCGGCUUACUGGACUGUAAAUGACGCUGAGGCUCGAAAGCGUGGGGAGCAAACAGGAUUAGAUACCCUGGUAGUC